rnacentral:misc_RNA from 1 species
CUGGAAUCGCAAGAUCCCACAACCCUGUGAACCUACCGAAACGUUGCCUCGGCGGGCGCCCGGCCUCGCGCCGGGCGCUGUGCCCGCCGACGGCCCCCUACUCUGUCUCUGCAGCGUGGCAUCUCCGAGAAAUACGAAACAAGUCA